CAAUUUACAAUGGAGAGUUUGAUCCUGGCUCAGGAUGAACGCUAGCGGCAGGCCUAAUACAUGCAAGUCGAGCGGCAGUUGAG
rnacentral:rRNA from 1 species